rnacentral:lncRNA from 1 species
UUUAUUUAAUAUUGAUAUUUUAUAUUAAUUAUCUAUUUCAAGUGGUUCAUUUUAAUACACAUUUUUUUCUUGAUUUUAUUUUUAUGUCUUAAAAUUAUUUUUAGCCUUUGAUUUUUGGGAUGAAGGUUGACCACUUUCCCAUGGUCAACCUGACCUUUUCUUGGAAUUUUAUUUCCCAUUUUCAAUUUAUUUUGGGUUUAUUUUUG